rnacentral:rRNA from 1 species
UAACGGCGAGUGAAGCGGCAACAGCUCAAAUUUGAAAUCUGGUCCCCUUGCGGGGCCCGAGUUGUAAUUUGAAGAGGAUGCUUCUGGCAAGGUGCCUUCCGAGUUCCCUGGAACGGGACGCCGCAGAGGGUGAGAGCCCCGUACGGUAGGACGCCGAGCCUCUGUGAAGCUCCUUCGACGAGUCGAGUAGUUUGGGAAUGCUGCUCAAAAUGGGAGGUAAACCCCUUCUAAAGCUAAAUACCGGCCAGAGACCGAUAGCGCACAAGUAGAGUGAUCGAAAGAUGAAAAGCACUUUGAAAAGAGAGUUAAAAAGCACGUGAAAUUGUUGAAAGGGAAGCGCUUGCGACCAGACUCGCGCCCGUCGGAUCAGCCGUCGCUUGUCGGCGGCGCACUCCGGCGGGCUCGGGCCAGCAUCAGUUCGCCUCGGGGGGAGAAAGGCGGCAGGAAUGUGGCUCCUCGGAGUGUUAUAGCCUGCCGUGUAAUACCCCCGGGCGGACUGAGGACCGCGCGUAUGCAAGGAUGCUGGCGUAAUGGUCGUCAGCGACCCGUCUUGAAACACGGACCAAGGAGUCGUCCUAAUAUGCGAGUGUACGGGUGUCAAACCCCUGCGCGUAAUGAAAGUGAACGGAGGUGAGAGCUUCGGCGCAUCAUCGACCGAUCCUGAUGUUCUCGGAUGGAUUUGAGUAAGAGCAUAUUGGGCCGGACCCGAAAGAAGGUGAACUAUGCCUGUGUAGGGUAAAGCCAGAGGAAACUCUGGUGGAGGCUCGCAGCGGUUCUGACGUGCAAAUCGAUCGUCAAACAUGGGCGACUAAUCGAACCUUCUAGUAGCUGGUUUCUGCCGAAGUUUCCCUCAGGAUAGCAGUGUUGAAUCUCUCAGUUUUAUGAGGUAAAGCGAAUGAUUAGGGACUCGGGGGCGCUAUUUAGCCUUCAUCCAUUCUCAAACUUUAAAUAUGUAAGAAGCCCUUGUUACUUAGUUGAACGUGGGCCUUCGAAUGUAUCAACACUAGUGGGCCAUUUUUGGUAAGCAGAACUGGCGAUGCGGGAUGAACCGAUCGCGGGGAUAAGGUGCCGGAGUGGACGCUCAUCAGACACCACAAAAGGUGUUAUCACAUCUAGACAGCAGGACGGUGGCCAUGGAAGUCGGAAUCCGCUAAGGACUGUGUAACAACUCACCUGCCGAAUGUGAUAGCCCUGAAAAUGGAUGGCGCUCAAGCGUCCCACCCAUACCCCGCCCUCAGGGUAGACACGAUGCCCUGAGGAGUAGGCAGACGUGGGGGUCAGUGACGAAGC